rnacentral:tRNA from 1 species
GCGGAGAUGCCGGAGCGGUCAAACGGGCUAGGUUUAGGUCCUAGUGGCUUAGUGCCUACAGGGGUUCAAAUCCUCUUCUCCGCA